GACGAACGCUGGCGGCGUGCUUAACACAUGCAAGUCGAACGAAGAGCGACGGAAGCUUGCUUCUAUCAAUCUUAGUGGCGAACGGGUGAGUAACGCGUAAUCAACCUGCCCUUCAGAGGGGGACAACAGUUGGAAACGACUGCUAAUACCGCAUACGAUCUAAUCUCGGCAUCGAGGAUGGAUGAAAGGUGGCCUCUACAUGUAAGCUAUCACUGAAGGAGGGGAUUGCGUCUGAUUAGCUAGUUGGAGGGGUAACGGCCCACCAAGGCGAUGAUCAGUAGCCGGUCUGAGAGGAGGAACGGCCACAUUGGGACUGAGACACGGCCCAGACUCCUACGGGAGGCAGCAGGGGGGAAUCUUCCGCAAUGGACGAAAGUCUGACGGAGCAACGCCGCGUGAGUGAUGACGGCCUUCGGGUUGUAAAGCUCUGUUAAUCGGGACGAAAGGCCUUCUUGCGAAUAGUGAGAAGGAUUGACGGUACCGGAAUAGAAAGCCACGGCUAACUACGUG
rnacentral:rRNA from 1 species